rnacentral:rRNA from 1 species
CGUAGGGCGCGAGCGUUAAUCGGAAUUACUGGGCGUAAAGCGUGCGCAGGCGGUUUUGUAAGACAGAUGUGAAAUCCCCGGGCUCAACCUGGGACCUGCAUUUGUGACUGCAAGGCUAGAGUACGGUAGAGGGGGAUGGAAUUCCGCGUGUAGCAGUGAAAUGCGUAGAUAUGCGGAGGAACACCGAUGGCGAAGGCAAUCCCCUGGACCUGUACUGACGCUCAUGCACGAAAGCGUGGGGAGCAAACAGGAUUAGAUACCCUGGUAGUCCACGCCCUAAACGAUGUCAACUGGUUGUUGGGUCUUUACUGACUCAGUAACGAAGCUAACGCGUGAAGUUGACCGCCUGGGGAGUACGGCCGCAAGGUUG